AUGCUCCCUUUGGCAGCACAAAUACUAAAAUUAGAACAAUACAGAGAAUAUUAGCAUGGCCCCAGUGCAAGGAUAACAUGUAAAUUUGUGAAGCACUCCAUAAACAA